CCUACGGGCGGCAGCAGUGAGGAAUAUUGGUCAAUGGGCGCUAGCCUGAACCAGCCAAGUAGCGUGAAGGAUGACUGCCCUAUGGGUUGUAAACUUCUUUUAUAUGGGAAUAAAGUGCAGUAUGUAUACUGCUUUGCAUGUACCUUAUGAAUAAGGAUCGGCUAACUCCGUGCCAGCAGCCGCGGUAAUACGGAGGAUCCGAGCGUUAUCCGGAUUUAUUGGGUUUAAAGGGAGCGUAGGCGGGUUUUUAAGUCAGUUGUGAAAGUUUGUGGCUCAACCGUAAAAUUGCAGUUGAUACUGGCAGCCUUGAGUACAGUAGAGGUAGGCGGAAUGCGUGGUGUAGCGGUGAAAUGCAUAGAUAUCACGAAGAACUCCGAUUGCGAAGGCAGCCUGCUAGACUGUAACUGACGCUGAUGCUCGAAAGUGUGGGUAUCAAACAGGAUUAGAUACCCCAGUAGUC
rnacentral:rRNA from 1 species